AUCCAACUGAGGAUUCCCAAAUAGAAAGAAACGCACGUCUUGGAU
rnacentral:hammerhead_ribozyme from 1 species